AGUGAACGCUGGCGGUAGGCCUAACACAUGCAAGUCGAACGGCAGCACAGUAAGAGCUUGCUCUUACGGGUGGCGAGUGGCGGACGGGUGAGGAAUACAUCGGAAUCUACUUUUUCGUGGGGGAUAACGUAGGGAAACUUACGCUAAUACCGCAUACGACCUACGGGUGAAAGCAGGGGAUCUUCGGACCUUGCGCGAUUGAAUGAGCCGAUGUCGGAUUAGCUAGUUGGCGGGCUAAAGGCCUACCAAGGCGAGGAUCGGUAGCUGGUCGGAGAGGAUGAUCGGCGACAUUAGAACGUGGACGGCCACCAUGCGCCUGCGGUACGCAGCAGUGGCGAACAGGAGGCAAUAGGCGGGAGCAUGACCCAACCAGAGCGCGUCGGAUGAAGAGGCCUUCGGGUCGUAAUGCCCGUUUGCUGGGAAUAAACCGCAUCAGGUUGAUACCCCGCGUUACUGACGGUACCCAAAAAAGAAGCACCGGCUAACUUCGUG
rnacentral:rRNA from 1 species